GCUGGAUUUAAUUUCAGCCCUCACAUGGUGGCUUACAACUGCCUGCAACUCCACAUCCAGGGGAUCCGACACCCUCGUCUGACCUCCACAGGCACUUCAUGCAUGUGGCCCAUAGGCAUACAUGCAGUCAGAAUACCCCUACACACACAAAAUAAUAAGAAAAAAAAAUUUAUCAUGGAUGCAAUAAUGAAGUUUCCCUUGGCUUGUGCUGUGACUUUACAGCACACAACCACAUGUGCAAUCAUUGAACUUGAGCUUUGAGACCUCCACAGAGCUCAGUCCCCAAGAGAUAGUAGACUCAUAUAAGAGAGAGAGGCUAAAAUAAUGGAGGGGACUUCAUCCUGGAAAGGACAUCCUUUGUGACCUCCUGGACAUGGCACUCUUAACUAUAUAAUUCAAAUCAGUGACUGCUUACUAAAAAAAUGUACUUUUCACAUUUUUACAAAUUAAGUAUAACAUUUUGUAUAUAUAUAUUUAAAGGUUUUGAUUUGCUUUUUAAUGUAAAGGCAAAUAAGAGUUCAUAAACUUCUGUAAUUACAAAAAAAGCCAAAGCCAUUGAAAGUGCACUGACCAUGACAGCUUUGCUACAGAGCAGUCAUGUUACCAACCGCCUUUUCAAGUUUGUACUUUUCCCUUACGCUCUCUUCCUGUUUUUCUGUCCAAUCACUUGAGAGUCAGAACAGUUCCAAAUGUAACAGUAUUGUGUCUUCCCACAGAAUGCCUGUCUCUAGGAAGCAUAAUGGCUGAAGAUUCCCCUGGGGAGACAGUAACCCGGAAGCCUUAGACUUGAGCCCAGGUGCCGAGCAGUGCAGUGAGGCGCAGCCUUACUGGCCCUUUGAGUGUCAGCUGCCACUUUACAGCCAUGCUUCACUAAUCUGGCCUAUGAACUAACUGUGCUGGUUUCUGAUUGUGAAUCUUUUUAUUCACCUACUUGCAGAUUGUUUUCAUGUCCAAAACAAAAGAAAUAUUUUUGCUAUAUCCACCUUUGUAAUCCAAGUUUGAGUACUCAUUGUCACCAUUUUCUAUCCAUUGCUCCAGAAAAAUGUGCUGUCUGCACAGCUUCUGUCUAUCCACCAGGUCUUCAGACAGAUGGACCCUUGCCUGCCUUGGUCCUUAAAGGUGUACAUUAAAUGUCUUUCACAGAGAGUUAAGAUCUGUGGCUUUGAACCUGCAUUGUGUAGCUGCCUUGAUUUUAAUCAAGCUUUAUCUGUGAGUGUUCAGACCAACUGAUCACAUUGAUCAGAAUAAAAACCAAAUGCUUUGU
rnacentral:lncRNA from 1 species